rnacentral:rRNA from 1 species
UACAGAGGUCCCAAGCGUUGUUCGGAUUCGUUGGGCGUAAAGGGUGCGUAGGUGGCGCCGUAAGUCGGGUGUGAAAUCUCGGAGCUUAACUCCGAAACUGCAUUCGAUACUGCCGUGCUUGAGGACUGGAGAGGAGACUGGAAUUUACGGUGUAGCGGUGAAAUGCGUAGAUAUCGUAAGGAAGACCAGUGGCGAAGGCGGGUCUCUGGACAGUUCCUGACGCUGAGGCACGAAGGCCAGGGGAGCAAACGGG